rnacentral:rRNA from 1 species
UGUGCCAGCAGCACGCGGUAAUACGUAGGGUGCGAGCGUUGUCCGGAAUUACUGGGCGUAAAGGGCUCGUAGGUGGUUUGUCGCGUCGUCUGUGAAAUUCCGGGGCUUAACUCCGGGCAUGCAGGCGAUACGGGCAUAACUUGAGUACUGUAGGGGUAACUGGAAUUCCUGGUGUAGCGGUGAAAUGCGCAGAUAUCAGGAGGAACACCGAUGGCGAAGGCAGGUUACUGGGCAGUUACUGACGCUGAGGAGCGGAAGCAUGGGUAGCGAACAGGAUUAG